ACGAAUCUUGAAGCCCGUGCUAAACAACUGAAAAAUUUAAACCGAAUCCACGGUCUGAAAAUAACAUAAAAACAAGGCGAAAAGAAAGAGGCAGAUCGGACAAAUCCAACGUGCAUCAGAAGAUCGUCGAAACGGUCGGAUCAGCUACGAGUUAUCAGAAUUCUAUAAUUUUUUACUCAAACUAGUGUCACAUCAUUGCGUGCUGUAACCGGGUUUCUUUUUUCUUAUCUGUUGCUACUACUAAACAUCUUUGUCAUUCAUAAAUGAAUAAUCUUUUGAUUACUCAUUAGCCGUCCAUUGUUUUUCUCUUCUUAGAAGUUGUAAGUUGGGGUGUUAAAGUACCCCCUAAAGAACAAUGAACGAUAGACCGUAAUCUACUUAAAUUAACUACUAUUCUGUCACGAUUGUUUUGCUGAUAUUCUCUAAAAUUUUCGAUACGGGAACUUUUUUUUUCUCAAUGUCAUUAUCAUCGGAUAUUAAUUGCAUUUUUCUCUUAUCUAACUUAAUUCUUGAUUGCCGGUGAUAUUAAUUUCUUCGUUCCCUUGUAUAAACUGUCACGCAUUGACAAACAAGUCUAGAACAAAAUAGCAAACAACCUGCCCGUCCAAUCGGCUCGCGAAAAUAGAUUGGUUUAGGACUGUCUUUUACGGUGAUGAAAAACAUUUUGUAACAAUUUACGUUAUGCAGAGUGAAAUCCCAAAUUAUAUUUUUAUAUUGGUUUUUUUAUUAAUUACCUCAAUAGAAAUCAUAUGGCUCAAUUCAAGAUAGAUAAUAUAACUGUGCAAAUAGAUUUUUUUUUAUCACGGCUGCCCAAUUUAUAUAUACACUUACAAUUGAUAAGGACAUAAGUUUUAUAAGAAUUUUAUAUCUCUAUACUGAAUAAUCAAAUUGAACGAGCAAUUGUGGUAAUAAUUUCCAAAUGUGUAACGUCAAAUAAAAAUUAUAAGAGUAAGAAUAUAUGUGUUAUA